AGUACCUUUAAUUCAGUCCCGAGAGGCUGGCAAGGUAGCGUGAAUAAACGAUCGAUCCGACGGAUUCCGCAGAAGGAAUGACGCCAGAGCGCGCUUGACGUGCGCCCGAAGGCGAUUCUCUGUCUGCAUCCGGGUCGGUAAAGCUCCUUGCGGCACGAUUCGCAAGGAGCUUUUUUUGC
rfam:Paenibacillus sp. 32O-W, complete genome.